UGGUGGAGUGAUUUGUCUGGUUAAUUCCGUUAACGAACGAGACGACCGCCUGCUAAAUAGUUACGCUAACGCUUGCGUUGGCGGGCAACUUCUUAGAGGGACUCCAGGUGACUAAUCUGGGGAAGGCUGGUCGCAAUAACA
rnacentral:rRNA from 1 species